rnacentral:lncRNA from 1 species
GGCUAUUUGAAAAAUUAAAGAAACUCUCCUUUUCACUUAUAUUUUGAUUGCAUAAGAAUUAAAGAAUGAUUGGAAUCUUCAGCUCUGCUAAUAUCUAGAUCAUAGAAAUUGACUAGAAAGAGUAACAACAAUGCUCCGUUGUGAAGUAUUAUAAAAGUCAAAAGAUAAAUAAUUAUAGCUGACAGUUUGGUAUAUAUUGCACUGUGUCAUACUUACAAUACUACUAUUUUUAAAUUAUAAGGCUCAAAUUCAUGCAUCUACUCCAUUGGAAAUGUUUAGUUAAUUGGGAUUUUCAUUCUGUGAUUGUGAGCACUUCUCAAGCUUAGAAGUUAAUAAAAUAUGCUGUGUUAUCAAGUUCCAUCUCAUCUAGAAGAAUCAUGAUGAUCUAUAUAGGACUGAUCUAUGGAAAGGCUGAAGGUUAUACAAUAAGAUACUCUUCUCUCAAAAAAGAGUUUCCAUAAAUCAUUUGGGUAUGAAUGGAUCGGUCCAAUAGUUGAUCAGUUGCCUCAUUCAGUUUGAGUUUUGCAAGAUUUCCUUAACUUGUCACUAAUGUAUUCAAAAUAUUUUUCACUUUCGGGAAAUCUCCAAUAGCAUUUCUGAUGGUUGUUUGAAAGGCUUCCAUAAGAGAAUAGCCAAAGUGUAAUAUACCACCAUGCUGAACCUUACAGAGCAGCAACCAUUUCCCCAUUCAAAGAUAUAAAGAUAAUGAGGAAAUUUCCCAUGAUCUUUUAAUAUCUGAGUUUAAUUAUGGUCAGUACUGGUUCGAAGUUCAAUCCAUUUAAGAAUGAGAUAAAAUAUGAGUACUAUUUCUUCUUGGUUCUUGUAUUCAGAGUAUAUCAAUUUCAGAAUUUUUGUCAGUUUGUUAUUAGUCAUUGCAAUAGAGUAUGUUUGACAUGGCUGAUAAAAAAUGGAAUGUUUGCUGACACCAAACUCUUAUUUCAGUUCCAAAACAGUGAAGUACAGUAUAAUGAUGUAGCAUGAGGAGAUAGCAUAUAUGGUGGGAAGAUUCAAAAACAGCCAAGCAUAUCCUAUAAUAUAUCUAAGGAAUGACUACUAGCUUUGGUCAUAUCCUCUCUUAAAGCCAGAAUAAUUUAAUUGUCACUGGAUUAUUCAGUCAAGUUGUUCUUGAAAUUGUUCUGGAUCAUGUUUGAACAAGAAGGCUUUUUGUUCUGAUACACAAUUUUGUCUAAUAUAAAUAUCCUCAUUGUGAGUCUUUAAUAGAGAUCUCAGUUUCUGACAUGGUUAGUUUAUCAAAUUUUCCAGCAAAGCCUGCCUGAAGGAAAAGUAGAUUUCCAUGAAUUCACAUUGCAGCCUUAACAUUCCUCUUGCUUGGUAAUGACUUCUAUGUUGGCAAGAUUUUCUUCUCUGGCUUUAUUCCUUUUUUACUAUCUCCGACAUUCAAGAGGAAGGAGGCUAAUGAAGACAAUGAAUAUAUCUGAGUAGCAGAUGCAUUAACAACUGUUAUAAUAAAUUCAGAACCAGGUUAUUUAAAAGAAAAAAACUUUUAUUUAAGUAAAAGUAAUAUCAAAAACAGAACGUUUGAAUUAGAAAUGCAUCAUAAGAGCAAAAGAACUUAGCAUCUUUAGUCAAAUCCAUUAAAAACACAGUUGACAGUCUUGAUCAUCAAAACACUUCAACAGUCUAUAGUUAUGUAGGAGACAAUGGAUAAAUGGAGAUAAACAAUGGUAUCUGGUAUUCAAUGGCUCUUCUCUUGUUCUAAUACAGCAACCCCUUUUUUCAUACAAUAAUUCAUUUACAUAUAUGUUAUAUUAUGCAGUUGUAAUAAGCAUUAUAUAUUUCAAUAAAUAU